UACGAAGGGGGCUAGCGUUGUUCGGAUUUACUGGGCGUAAAGCGCACGUAGGCGGAUCGAUCAGUCAGGGGUGAAAUCCCAGAGCUCAACUCUGGAACUGCCUUUGAUACUGUCGAUCUGGAGUAUGGAAGAGGUGAGUGGAAUUCCGAGUGUAGAGGUGAAAUUCGUAGAUAUUCGCAAGAACACCAGUGGCGAAGGCGGCUCACUGGCCCGAUACUGACGCUGAGGUGCGAAAGCGUGGGGAGCAAACAGG
rnacentral:rRNA from 1 species